AAUAUUUAAAAUAAUAUUUUUAUUAAAAAAUAAUUUUACACUUUUAAACUAGACACAAAUGGAAUUAGGCAUCCACAGAGAGCUUCCACACAGCAGAGUAAGGAUUCCACAGCUAGUGGCGCAAGUGAGCACAAGGGUCAGCAUCGAAUUGCGUGGCCACUGCGUACAUUGCGAGGGCUAGUUGAUCUGACUUGGUCACUUUCAUCAUCAUCCGAUUAAUCCCCUACUUUGGAAGGUUGUUUGUCACUUUCCAGUAGUCCAUGCACACUUUUUCAUUUUUUGUUCUUUUCUUCCUGAGAUUAUCCACUUCUACAAUCAUGCCCAACUGACAUCGAAAAUCUCUGUAUCUACUUGAUUUUCUUGAUACCAAGUAGCUGUCCCGUCUGUGGCAGUGGCUGUGUUGAUCCAUCCAAUUAGUCCUGCCUGGAGUCCCAUUAAAAGAUAAGUGAAAUGCAUCAUGUAAAGCCACUUUUCGUUUUUAUUAUAAAAUUCCCUGAUUUUGUACCAUAAACAUUUGUCAUUUUAUACAUUGACAACAGGUCAUGCCCUUUAUUAUUUACUUUUCUCUUUCUGCAAGCAGAUGCAGGUCCACCUCCUACAGAAACCAUUAUUUGCAUCUCACUUCUCAUCUUUAUUUAUAAAUAAUCCACAAAGAUGCUGAUAGAUUAGAUGGGUGUAGUUGCAAUUUAAUAACAAGUAAAAGAAUAUUAAACUAGCAGGUAUUCACUAGCAACUUGCCGAGUCCUCCCAUGGAAAAGCAUGCUUUGAUCAGACAGGAGGAAACCACCAUGGGCCAUUGCCCCUGCAAACACACAUAACAUGAACUUAAAAAUACAUUUAAACUGAACGUCAUUAUUAUCCAAAAACCAAAAUAACCCAUGAAUAAUGAGACAGAAAAAAUGCAGACUGCAGUCAGAGAUCUUGAGACAUUGAAGAUAAUUUAGGCAAAGAACAUUUGCUAGCUUGGCUAGCGGUGAGCCAUAAUCUUUCAUCUUAUGAACAAAGCCACAAAAGGAAAUGCUAAUCAUAUGAAAUUCUUUUCCUGGUCAAAUAAAUCACCUUAGUCAAUGCUUGCUGAAAAUUCAGUUAGAUUACAAAAUAAAUUAAUUUAUAUGAUUAUUAAUAAUUUAUUUUAUAUAUUUUAUUUAAAAAGAUUAUGAAUAAAUUAAUUUAUAUGUAGUAAAAUUAUAACCCGACCCUCAGGGCUAAACGAGGGACGACCUAAAAAACAGAAGAAAGGAAAGGGAAAAACAAUGAAUGAAUUUGAACUGGAAUUUGUUUAGCUUAGGAACAACUAAGCCAACAUCACAGAAUAUACAAUAUUUGAUGCUAUGGCUGCAAAACUUCUUUCUGUAACCUAUGCCAACUUCUUCAGACAAUCAUCCAUCGUUGUAGUAUUCCACCGGUUUCAGUCACCAAAUAUUGUGACCAUCACCCCAUGUUCCAGCACUCUGAACUCUCCUCCAUGGUGUCAAGGAUUUGUCAUCUCAUAUUGCAGCAUUGGGGCCUUCCCGUCUUUUGCAGUUUAUCCCAAAGGCAGAUCAUCUGCCUUGGGGACUGAUAAUGUGCCGUGAAAUAGCCUUCAAUGCAUCCAAACUGGCAGUACUUCAAGCUGUGUACAUACUCCACAGGUUUUGUGCUGUUAAAUUGCUCCACCCACAUUCCCAUGCUCACAUCUUCCAUCUUAAACAAUCUCAACUGAUGACUUUGAAACUUGGCCACAACAAAUUGUGCAAUGUCCGAUGAGAUAAUAUAGCCUGGACCAUUUGCAUAGGGUGGGUACUCUUCUUCUGGCCAUUCCUCAUAAGUCACAGCCCAUUUUCCGCUACGGAAAACCCUGUGGUAGUAGUUAAUGUUUCCAAUAUACAGGCUUCUAUCACUGGGCACCUUCUUUGCUUCCUGUAUCAUGGCCUCCACCCUAACAAAAGUGUCAUCAUCACAUUUCAUAAUAUACUUUGCAGCCAUAGUAUGAACCUAUCAACAGCCAAAAUAAAAGGAAAUAUAUAAAAUUCUACUUAGAGAGGGAUAUGAAAGUGAAAUGAAGAGAAUAAUUACUCAUAAUAAAUAAAACUGAUAAACAUAAGGAAAACAAGAAUGAAACAGUAAGCAACAUUUGAUCAAUCACUCACCCCAUAUUCACAUAUUGCAACUGUCUUCAAUACAACAAGGUCAUAAUUAUCCAUGUAUGGAACUAUAACAAUAUCACCAAAAAAAUCUGCUUCUUUCUUUAGCUGUGCAUUUAUUUCCUUUCCUCCAUUCUGUUGAAUAAAAAAUAUAGUCUAGCAACUUUUAGUAUUUUUUGCCCUAUAUUAAAGCAAAAAGAGCUGUAAAGCUAAACAUGACUUCAUAUUCCACCCUCACCAGUGCUACAAAAAACCGAGCCGCCACUUUUGAAGAUCUUAUCAGCUUAUGCUGCAUCCAGGUUUUCCUUACAGCCAUCCGCUCAGCAAAAUGGUUGCCAGCAGAGAGGAUACCGAUGAAGAGCUCAACUUGCCCGUCAAGAAGAGGUGGUGCUUGCCACUUCCUGAACAUCUCAAGAUGCUGCUGCGGUGCAACACUUGGAUGUAAGGAAGGUAAGGAAGCAGCAAAAACAGAAUGCACAUCAACAUCCCCGUUCAAAUAUAAUCCAGUGGCAUCCUCAAGAACAAAUCCGGUGUGAUAUGGAAAAGAAGUGAUAUGUCUCCCGUCAACAUUGAUGUGAUAACCUUCCAAGCCAGUACUCAAAGUAAGAACAAAUAACUUGCCCUCAGCAAAAGGGAAUGGCCAGUUGAACGAGAUCUUCCUUUGUCGUCCUAUCAGUCUAUUCAACCACCAUGCGACUUUUGAAUCUUCUGAAUUAGAAUCAUCAUCACGAAGCCAUUUCUCGCAUUUCACCAGCCCAUCAACUUUACAAAACCAGGGGGAAAAAAUAGCAAUCGUGGUUAAUGUCCCACUAAUACCAGAAGGUUAAAGAGUUGAAACUGAAUCACAAGGGGUAGAAAAAGGACAGAGAGAGCAUAUCGAACAGCUAAAUUGGAAAAAUCAUCGAAAGCGCGUGACUAAAAAAUUAUAAAACCGACAAGAAGCAUCAAAACAAGACAGACAGAUAAUUCCACAAAGGCCCUUGACAAACAAUGAAAUCAAUUCCCCAUUACUGAAUAAUUUGACAGCCACAGUAAUAAAGAAAACUACACUGUCAACUCUAAACGCAGAUCAUAUCAGUAACAUAUUGGAAUCACCCUCGAAUAUGGUCUGCAUGUAAACUCCUACUGAAUACAGUUCAAUGCACUCAAAUUGCAUUAGAAACAAAUGCAUACCAAAGCAAAUUCACCCACCAGUGUCCUCAUCGGCCUGAGAACUCCACCCCUCGCAUCUCAACGGAGUUCCCCAUUGCAUUCUAUAGCAAGUGUUAUGCUCUAUAACAGGUUUCCCACUCCAAUCACCUUUCAAUCUCGGGUUGAAAUGGAGAAUUCUUGGUGGUUCCUCUCCAUCAACGGUCUUCAACCCCAGUAACUCCAUCAUGAACUGGGACACCAUCAGUGCCUCCUCCCCCUCCUUCAGCAACGCUAUUUGCGGGUCCUUCUCCAGGUGGGCCCACCUCGGACUCCCCACCACCGUUAUGUGGGACCCCAGAGUCAGUCCGCAGGGGAGCUCUAUGAUCCGCUUACGAGCGGAAAACUCCGAACUGGAUAAAGCCAUAGACACCGGGCAAUGUUCAAUGCGAUUCUCGACGUUGAUAGGGUCGGCUUGAACUUUACCCGACUCCAACUCUUCCCAGAGCUUCUUCCCAGCGAGCCACGCCUGUUUAGCGGCCUUGUGGAGGGCAGAGAGUUCAUCGACAGCGUCAGCAGCAUCGAAAAUAGACUCAUUGAAGAACAGACCAGACAAUCUUUUCGUCUCUCGCACUCGCCUUUCAGGGAUCCGGAGAAAGACCCGAUGAGGAUCCAACACCGUUCGAGUUGCUUCAUCAUCGUCGGCCAAUAUGGGCCUAGGCAAGGCGUCGCUGAGAGAGCCAUCGCCGGGCACCGACCCAUAGCCGGUUUUGAAAAUGAGAGGGAUUUCAAGGCUCAUGAAGAGCAAGUAUACAAGAAGGACGGCCAUUAAAGCCUGAAUCAAUGUGAGUCGAGUCAUUGGGACUGAAGACUCGACCUUGACUCGCUUCAUUGUCGGUGAGUGGACAGCAAGUUAAAUGAUCAAAAGGGUCUCUUUUAAACCUAAAUUUCGAGGAAGCUACUUGUAGUGCUUCACUCUGCAUAACACUCGCAGUGAAACGCAUACACCCUUUGGCAGGAAGAGAAAGAUAAUGCCAUAAACCGCUGGAAAUCUCCGGUGUGUAUCUGUAGCUAUUAGCAUUAAAAC
rnacentral:misc_RNA from 1 species